rnacentral:rRNA from 1 species
ACUGAAUAGAUACCCUGGUAGUCCUGGCUGUAAACGGUGCAUGUUUGCUGUAAGAGGAAAUCGACCCCUUUGUGGCGAAAGCUAACGCGAUAAACGUGCCGCCUGGGGAGUACGGUCGCAAGAUUAAAACUACAAAGAAAUUGACGGGGCCGUGCACAAGCGGUGGAGUAUGUGGCUUAAUUCGAUGCAACGCGAAGAACCUUACCUGGCCUUGACAUGCACGUAGUAGGAGCCUGAAAGGGUAACGACCCGCAAGGGGAGCGUGCACAGGUGCUGCAUGGCUGUCGUCAGCUCGUGUCGUGAGAUGUUGGGUUAAGUCCCGCAACGAGCGCAACCCUUGUGUCCUGUUGCGACCCGGUCGAGAGACUGGAGCACUCUGGACAGACUGCCUCGCUUAAACGAGGAGGAAGGUGGGGAUGACGUCAAGUCAGGAUGGCCCUUACGGCCAGGGCUGCACACGUACUACAAUGCCCGGUACAGAGGAAGCGAGACCGUCAGGUGGAGCAAAUCCUUU